CAUUUCUCCAAAUCUGUUCCUAUGAGCAAACGUACUCAUCUACAUCUUGGACAACCUGAGGGUGCAUGUGUGUGCGGUGGCAUGUCCAGCCCACCCUCUAUCAACAUAAAACAUCACAUAUAUAGUCAUGUGAUCUUGGGACAAUUUAUAUAUCAUUGGGGUUCAGCUUCAAGAACAAACUGCCUUCGAUAACAAACUGAUCUUAAUCUGAGCAUGUCAUACAGAGAGGACGAUGAGUAUGAG